AUUAUAUUACCUCCGUCCCAAAAUUCUUGUCUUAUAUUUGUCUAGAUACGGAUCUAGACAAAUUUAAGACAAGAAUUUUGGGAUGGAGGGAGUAGUUG
rnacentral:pre_miRNA from 1 species